rnacentral:piRNA from 1 species
AUGUGUAAAACAGUUAAGAAUGUAGCCAC